rnacentral:rRNA from 1 species
GCGAUUCGCCCUUGGGUGCAGCAGGCGCGAAAACUUUACAAUGCCGGCAACGGCGAUAAGGGAACCUCGAGUGCCAGGUUACAAAUCUGGCUGUCGUGAUGCCUAAAAAGCAUUGCAUAGCAAGGGCCGGGCAAGACCGGUGCCAGCCGCCGCGGUAACACCGGCGGCUCGAGUGGUAACCGUUAUUAUUGGGUCUAAAGGGUCUGUAGCCGGCCGGGUAAGUCUCUUGGGAAAUCUGGCAGCUUAACUGUCAGGCUUUUAGGAGAUACUGCCUGGCUCGAGGCCGGGAGAGGUGAGAGGUACUUCAGGGGUAGGGGUGAAAUCUUGUAAUCCUUGAAGGACCACCAGUGGCGAAGGCGUCUCACCAGAACGGACCUGACGGCAAGGGACGAAAGCUAGGGGCACGAACCGGAUUAGAUACCCGGGUAGUCCUAGCCGUAAACGAUACUCGCUAGGUGUCGGCCACGGUGCGACCGUGGUCGGUGCCGUAGGGAAGCCGUGAAGCGAGCCACCUGGGAAGUACGGCCGCAAGGCUGAAACUUAAAGGAAUUGGCGGGGGAGCAC